CUAGCUGCCACUGAUUCUUUCCCCCCCCUCCUUGUCUGUUUAUUGGUUACACCUGCUGUUUAUUUGGUGAUUAGCCAGCCGGCCCGCCUGCUCUUUGUGCGGGAUUGUUUGUGUGACUAGUGUGCACGUUAGAGGUUAACGUGUUUCCUGUUCGUGGGUUUUUGCUGGACUGUUUUAGUCCCCGUGUUUGGGGCAUUUGUUUUUGUGUGCGCCCUGUGUUUUCGUGGGGUGGCUUAUGUUCGCCAUUUGUGCAUUAAAUAGCACUAUCCUGAACUAUCUGCUUCCUGCGCCUGACUUCGUACCCACUACACCCAGAUCAUUACAACCAGUCAAAGGACCAAGACUCAGGAAUCAUCACCAGCAUCAGCCCAACAUAGAGAGGCACUGCACAGGACUAACCUCCCAGACUCAGGACACUGAACAGCCACCAACAGAAGAGAGAAGUGUUCUCUUUCAGACACUACUCAGUCAUUCCUCUACUGUUGUAUGUACACUCUACCAAUUAAAUAAAUUGCUAACAAGUAGCCCACCGAUACAGUUCACCCAACCCUUCAAUGAGGGAAUGCUUCUGAAUUUUGCAUGUGGAUAUGAGUCGUUAUACAGUAGAUUAAGAUUCCUUAGAGACCUUGGCUUUGCAUGUAAAAUCCUAGUGUUUCUGGCAUGAAAUGAUUUGUAUUACUAUCUCCCUCUCUCCGACAAAUAGACAAUGACUUGUAAGUGUUAAUUAAUUGUAAAAAAUAUUUAAAAAGUGAUAUUAUUUUACCUUUUAAUAGGCUGAAAAUAUUGUGUCCCAACUCUCAGGUACUGUAAAUGCUGUACAUACAUUUUGUAAAAAACGUGUCUACAGUGGUUUAUUUGUAUGUAUUACUGUGUUUGUUCUUUCCAAUUCACCCUUUAUAAAACUGAUAUACUCUGUAUAGAGAUGUUUUAAGUAAAAAUAAAUUCCAUGUCAAGAAGCGUCCUGUCUGUGCAUAAUGUAUCUUAUAUACUGUAUGAUUCAAAAGUCCAUAGUUAUAAACCAGAGAAAAUGAACGACCAUUGUGUUUCUAUUGACAUGAUGGCUUGUUUGGUGUGCAAACAAAAGGUUAGCUAGUGAAACACAGGUCUCCUGGGGACGUGUGGAAAUACAAACACACCACCCGGUAACGCAGUCUGUCAGCGUUCUAUACCCAUGGUGCAUGGCGUCACACUUAUUCCCAUUCAACCCAACCAACUGGGUCUCUGUGUUUCUGCCUGUCUAAAUACAGAAUGUGUGCACAUGCAUCUGAAUAUGACUGCU
rnacentral:lncRNA from 1 species